rnacentral:misc_RNA from 1 species
AACGCACGAGACCUGCGGACCUGCGGAGGGAUCAUUACCGAGUUUACAACUCCCAAACCCCUGUGAACAUACCACUCGUUGCCUCGGCGGAUCACCGCGCCCCGUGAAACGGGCCGGCCCGCCAGAGGACCUAAACUCAAAUGUUUUAUUGUAUCUUCUGAGUAAAAACACAAAUAAAUCAAAACUUUUAACAACGGAUCUCU